rnacentral:rRNA from 1 species
GAAGUUCAGUGGAGACCCUAGCACAACGACGAGAAUUAGACGUUUAAUAGAAGGUAAACCAGUAACGAGGGUCCCUCCAGAGUAGAGUCGAGUCAAGUCGUACCUCCAAGACUAAAGUCGUCGACGCCCGCUAGAACAGUCGUCCAAGUAGAGAAAGGACCGAGUUUCAAUACCGUGGGUGUGUACGCUCCUCCUCCUAGCAUGUUCCGACCUUGCGUAGAACGACUCCUACGUGUCGCAACAACUUCUUCGUCUCCCCGCCGUGUAGUGUUUAGCUCCCUACGAGGCCGUCGACUUCCGCGAGUAGCUCCCAUACAUAGAACCCAUGAUGUACGACCUGUCCGAGUCCCAGGUCAGAGAACCUCUUCUCUCGUAGCUUCUACUGCUCCACUCAGUAGCCUCGGUUAGAAAACGGCAAAGAUGAAAAUUAUGGCGGUUCGCGGAAGCGAAACGACGAAGAUAUAGUUUCUUGUGUGGUCAUCGUAAACCCUGGCCCUCGUGUUGUUUCAACUUUUCACAACAACUUUCAAACCUCCGAGUAUGACGUCUAUACUCUCUCAAACACUACGAGGAACCGUCGACGGGAGCGGACAGAGCGGUCGGUAUACUAUGCAUAGAUGUGUACCUAUUCACGUACAAACCAGCGGUGUAGCUCUUUCUCGUUGAGGAGUUGAAGAAUGAUAGACCACAACUAUCAGUACUACCUUGUUUAAAGUCGUAGGAAGGCUAGUAGCCGGGCACGUCUCAGCCUUUCUUUUGAGACCACGUUGUACGAACGUCCCUACUCUCCCACGCCCCAGCAAAGAGGCUGUACAAAAAGAUAUUUCCGCUACUGGGCGUAUAGCCUCUUAAACGCCAGUUGACGUUCCGUCCGAGCCCCUUCAUGAAUAAACAACAACUAAAGUCAACCCUACACUUACGCCGUCGUACCCUUUUGAAGGCUAGUACAGACGUCUUCUACGGUCCACGACCCUCAUUUUAACAUCACUAUCCGUCUUGUCUAGUUCAACGACUUUACCCUUGACGGGUUGGGUAGUCCUACUUCUCAAACGGCGUUCUUCUUAUGACCAUGAAGAAGUUCCGUGAACGGAAACCUUCGUACCUAGGACUACUCAUGGGUUUUGACCGUAGAGACCCUUACGUCAACCGAUGAGUCGAUUUGCCUAGAAAAGAACCACGUUUAUAUUAACCACCCCAUAAUUCUCGAUUAGGACUAUGAUUUAAAACCACGUCGUACAAUGACUCCUAUUCUCUUGAUCAAGCGUUCGUACCGAGGAAGCCGUAUGUGGGACUCCUGGAAAAGCUCUCUUUAUAGGGAUAGUUGAAGUGGUUCAACAGGAUACACCCCCGAUUCCAAGUUCCUACAACCCGAAUGCUAAACUCCCUCUGACCGGGCCUCGUUUCACUCGACGGUUUUGACUGUACCGUUGUUGACGAUUGGCCACGACUUUAAGGACUACUACUUCUGUUCAAACUACACAACCGUACCUCUAGAGCCUAGGGUGGAAUGGCGCUGAUGUAUCAAUGAAAACUCUUUGUCUUUGGUGCAGCAUUUCAGUCGUCCUCCUUAGUAGAACGCGGUUCUUUUUGUACCCUUAUUUACGAUUAGACCGUUUGUGUUCACGUUCCUACAUAGGAAUAGGAUAUCCAGUUAUUUAUCCAGUAAUAAUAUGAGAACACAAAAUGAAUAUCGACAUACACGGGUACAAUGACACCUCUACUCUGUUCAGGUAUAAAAUGGGGAAGGAGUCGGAAAACGACCUCAAGUUUACGUCGAGAGUUGAGAUUAUGUUAGAACAUAACACACCGUCGGUACUUCAGCGUACUUCUGUUACGCUGAAGUAGCAGAAAAAGGAGGAAAUAGAAAUGAUUUGCUGGGUAACGCAGGAACCGGGUUUUUUUGUUUACAUGAGGAAGACAUUUGAUUAUAUUUUGCGAGAAUAUAAUCAAAUGUCUCCCUCAUCAGCUCUUUACUCCGAUAGAUGUACUUCAAACCAUGCUUGUGUAUUUAGGGUGAGCUGUUGCAGUUUAUGUAAGCUACUCUAGUACCGCCUGCAGUGAGGACUGUUCUCAGUUCAGAUCGGUAUGAGGACUAUUAUUAAACAACUCGAGCGGCCUCGACCUCCCCCUUCUCUUCCGACUCCAACGUAUACUCUGUCCUCCUUCGUUGUCGCGUUCCGCAGUCAAAGUCCGAGAACUACGCGAAGGACCCUGAGAUCCUAGUUGUCGAGGUCAGCAUAGAGGCAUCACCGGUAUUCAAAUGCCCGGGC